AUGACCUACAACAAGAGGGUACCUGUACUGGAAACCGACACAGACCAUGUAUGGGGGCUGACACCUGCCCAGUGCCAGAAGGUUAAGGAAGUUGGUGACCUGAUGGCAGGGAAGUCAGCGACCGAAGCCCCGGUGAACAGCGACCAUAACUAUAACGGUCCUAAGGUAGAAAAAUUCCUUGUCAGGUGGAAGGAAAAGAAGGACCCCUUUCGGGGGUGGGGGGGGGGGGGGGCUCAAGCCAUCAGUGAGAUACCACUCUGGAAGAGCUAG